rnacentral:rRNA from 1 species
CCUACGGGAGGCAGCAGUGGGGAAUUUUGGACAAUGGGCGCAAGCCUGAUCCAGCCAUGCCGCGUGAGUGAAGAAGGCCUUCGGGUUGUAAAGCUCUUUCGGCCGGGAAGAAAUCGCAUUGGUUAAUACCUGGUGUGGAUGACGGUACCGGAAUAAGAAGCACCGGCUAACUACGUGCCAGCAGCCGCGGUAAUACGUAGGGUGCGAGCGUUAAUCGGAAUUACUGGGCGUAAAGCGUGCGCAGGCGGUUUUGUAAGACAGGCGUGAAACCCCCGGGCUCAACCUGGGAACUGCGCUUGUGACUGCAAGGCUAGAGUACGGCAGAGGGGGGUGGAAUUCCACGUGUAGCAGUGAAAUGCGUAGAGAUGUGGAGGAACACCAAUGGCGAAGGCAGCCCCCUGGGUCGAUACUGACGCUCAUGCACGAAAGCGUGGGUAGCAAACAGGAUUAGAUACCCUGGUAGUCCACGCCCUAAACAAUGUCAACUAGGUGUUGGGAGGGUAAAACCUUUUAGUACCGGAGCUAACGCGUGAAGUUGACCGCCUGGGGAGUACGGCCGCAAGGUUAAAACUCAAAGGAAUUGACGGGGACCCGCACAAGCGGUGGAUGAUGUGGAUUAAUUCGAUGCAACGCGAAAAACCUUACCUACCCUUGACAUGUCAGGAAGUCUUGAGAGAUUGAGAUGUGCCCGAAAGGGAACCUGAACACAGGUGCUGCAUGGCUGUCGUCAGCUCGUGUCGUGAGAUGUUGGGUUAAGUCCCGCAACGAGCGCAACCCUUGUCGUUAAUUGCCAUCAUUUAGUUGGGCACUUUAGCGAGACUGCCGGUGACAAACCGGAGGAAGGUGGGGAUGACGUCAAGUCCUCAUGGCCCUUAUGGGUAGGGCUUCACACGUCAUACAAUGGUCGGUACAAAGGGUCGCCAACCCGCGAGGGGGAGCCAAUCCCAGAAAGCCGAUCGUAGUCCGGAUUGCAGGCUGCAACUCGCCUGCAUGAAGUCGGAAUCGCUAGYAAUCGUGGAUCAGCAUG